ACCUCGCUGCGGGCCCAGGGCAGCGAGGAGCAGAGCCCCUCCGGCGCUCCCCGCUCCCGCCCGGCCGCCUGCCGGGGCCCCGCUCACAGCGGGAAUUCCGCUGCCACAGUGAUGCUCUGCAGCCCUGGAGGCACCAGCCAGGCCACAGCCCACUGGGACAGCGAGACAAAACAGCCCAGGUGAAAGGGCUCCAAGGCCCUGUGGAGAGUUCCGACAAAAAUAUGGGGUUUGGAAACUUUCCUUUUUAACUUCUUUCCCCGUUGGUAAAUGAGGUGCAAUAUCAAAAUUGCAUAAUGCAGUGAUCUACGUCAGCCAAUCUCUUGUUAAUCGCUGCCUUGCAUGAUUCCUGUUGAACAAAGGUAAUCCUGUACAGAGGGGAAAUCACAGUAGCAGCAAACUGACAAUUUGAAAUGCAAAAGGAUAGCUGCAGUAAAAACCUUGCUAAAUCAUGGGGUUUAUUAAAACCUUCAUCUGUUGGUUUACUGGAAAAUGUAAGGUAAUAGGAUAUAUGGAAAUACCAACAAUAUAUUUAAAUGCAAGAAGUUAUUACAGCUGAGAAAAAUAUCUUCUAAAGCUACCACUUCCUACCUAAAGCUACCUUAGGAAGAAGCUGGAAUUUAAUAUACUAUUCAACAUGACAUUUAGAAAACAUUUAUAUAAAAGGGCACAUAACACAUGUGGAAAGUGUUUUGUGAAUUUCCCAAUGUUAAAUAUAAUUACUCUGUAAACAUAUGUUCAACACUUACAAAUGUUUAAGCAUCUCUAACUAUAUUUGUUUGGAAUGUGAACACAAACUAAACCUAAAGGUUAAAUAUUUGCUCAUCAUGUUUAUUGAGUAAUUUUCUCAGUUUGAGUAUUUUGAUUAAAAAGAAUCCACAAAUGGCAUCAUGUUUAUUCUGCAGACUACCAUUUUCUGCUUCCUUCAGAGAUGACUGGUAUCUGUGGUCAUUAACAAUAGUUUCUUAAUUAAUUCUGGAGCUGUAUCAAAAAUUUUCAGUUAUUAUAAUUUGUUUUAAAUGCCUUUCAGUUUCUCCUGAACAAUUCUUAAUACCCAGGGCUGUGUUUUACUGUGUGUGCUAAGCAAUACUACAGGGUCACAUCCUGAUUAUGAUGUCGAGAUAGUACUGGAUCCCCCAAAUUGUAUUUUGCUUAAAUUCAAACAGAUCAGAUUUGAGCAACAACCUUUCAGAAUGUUUUUCUAGACUAGUUGAACAUUUCUUGACACCUGGAGAAGCAGUGUAGCAGUAAGUAUUAAGAUAUGCCUCCAACUCGGGGAAUAUAAAAGGAAUAAUUGCCACAUGGUCUGACCUCCUCUAACUCUCACCAACUUGUGCAUCAAGCCCAUAGUUUUUGACUUACAUUGUAUCUCAAAGGUUCAGCCUUGGUUAUGAGUGACUGCAAGAGAGCACCUACCACCUUUAUGGGCGUGCUGUUCAGUAGUUGAUUACCUGGUCAAAAUCUGCACCCUGCACAUUUUACUUGUACUCUUGGCUUCCAGAGACUGACUUCUGUUGUAUCCAACAGACUGAAGAGUUGCCUGCUGUAAUAAAAUCAUUCCUCAGUGAGCACGACCAGUGCUUCAUGUGUGAGUCAUGGCUCAACUUUGAGCUUCUCUUUCUCAUUUUUUAAAUAAAGUCUCAUCCUCCUUAAAAUGUGGGUAGCCUGUAACUGCAGUAAUCAUCUUGCAAAUGUUAUAUAAAUGUCAUAUAAUACCCUUUUUGUGUUUCCAUUCGAUGUGAAAUUGAGUGUGAAGGUUGUUUGGCUGCAGCCCCUCUUCACACAGCUCAGGAAGUCCUGCUUUGGUCUGGGUGCAGCACGAGCCUGGCUGAAGGAGAUGGGUGUCAGUGCAAUGGGGGUCCCCUGCUUCCUCUCUCUGAAGCUGGACUGACACAACAGCUGGACCCCACAGAAUUUUCAUGGAUAGAACAGCUGGGCACUGGUUUAGGUGCCAGUUAAGCAUGUAAGUAGUGGUAUUCAUUUCAUGUGCUUCAGAGGCUGACAGGAUAGCCAUGCUCUUCCUGAGCUCCCUGGGAGAUCAUAGUAAGGAUUUUGCAGUAAUGAUCUUCUCAAGACCUAUUUCUUGAAAAAGGAUUUCAAUUCACAGAUAUCUAUAUUUUAUGCCUGUAAAACUCAUAUAUAUUUUCCUCUCCCCCACCUCUGCAUUAUUUCUAUUUACACAAAGAGAAGAGAGAGCUCAGUAUUUCCAAAAACCAAGACCAAGCUACCUCACAGUGAAGACUUGAGGUUAAUGUGUUUGAGAUUAAAGCUCAGUAAUUUUCUCCUAAGAUGUGCACACACUUCUGCCCCCUCACUGGCACUCUUUAAAGCUCUCAAGCCCUCUGCAGCUAUUUUAUAAAACAAGAUUCUCAGUCUGUCAGCAGACUUUCCCUUUCUCAUACUGCUUCUAUUUCGUACUCACAGAUUGUUUGAUGCAGUGAUGUUCUUUAGGAACUAUUGCUUUCUAGUCUCAACUGCUAUGUCUAUAAAUCAAAGAUAAAGUUUUUCCAUUUUCUUUUCAAAUUCCCUCUCUACUGUGUAAAAAAUUAAGAGCCUCUCUUAACAAUUACAUAAUCUGGCUCUAAAUCCAUUUCUCUUGAAGAUGCUGUGAAAAUGUGCUUUGGGUUGACUCAAGGUCUGUUUCUAUACUUCAGUUAACAUGAGAUAUCCAGUAAGGACUAUACAAGCUUGGUGCAACAUGAAGAAUCAACUGUCAGGAUUUUGAAAUGCAUGUUAUGAUAAAACAUGCCUUCUGUGUCUUCUGAGGUGAGAGAUUAUAUGGAUGCAUGGUUUGUGCACAGGUGGACGUCAUAACUUCUCUGUUCAUUAGAUUAUUUUCCUCAAUAAUAUUUCCUCCAACCCAGAUGCUUCCUCCCAUCUUGGCCUGCAUCACAAAUACCUCAAAAAUCUUUAAAAUAACAAUGUUAGGAAGGAGGUUUAUGUAAAGAUAUUGAAAGGAUGUAAUAAUAUAACUGAACUGCAUUUUAAAGUGCAUUUAUUUUAAUGUCCAAUUUUUCUACUCAGUGUAAGGUUGAAGUGGAAGUUUUAAAAUGUGUUUUUUUAAUGUAGUCUUUAUUAUUAUUUGUAUCCUCAAUCAAUCCUCCUUUGCACAAGAGAAUUUGUUUUUUUUUUCAGAUCCUGACUGAUUAAAAAGCUCCAUUUGGUUAUGUAAGAACAGCACAUGGAACACACCAGGAGCUGCUGGCAGCACAUUACUGACUAACAGAGUGAGAGACCUUUCAGACAUUGCUGAAGCUCUGUGGAGGAUUCUUUAUGGCAACUGUAAAAUGUGUUUUAGGAGUAAGUGCUAACAGACCUCACCAGAGCAGUUGAACUUAAAGGCUUAAUCUUUUAUUCAAAAGUAUGAGUGAAUGCCAAGAAAGGGACAGGGGGAGGUUCACAGGAAGAGGAAUUCAAAAUUACUGUUAAAAAUUGAAAUUUGAGCUAGAAUAGCAUGGGGCAGAGAGAGUUCACCUGCCUUGUCUAACCAGAUUUUCACACCAGAUAUAUCCAUACCACAAAAAAAUAAGGAUUCAGAAAAAAGGACAGAAAAUAUCCAUGGGAAAUUAAAGAAAUGCCAUCAGUAGAGCUGUGCUGAUGAGGCUACAGCUGAAGAAAUUGAAAAGGAAUUUCACUCACACUUAGUUUUGCUGCACACAAUACCAUACUACCUGGAAUAUAUAUUUUUUUCUCUUUAAUCUGCAUACUGCCAAAUCAGCCUUUUUAGAGAACUGCUAGUAAGAGAUAAAAAUAUGUUUCCUUAGUAUAAUGCAACUGAAUGAAAGCUGAAAAGGCUACAUUUGAGGCUCAGAUAUAUUUGGUAAGGUUUUGUAAGCCUAACCCUCCUCUUUUUAACCUCAUUAAGAGGAAAAAAAUUUUGCCACAAAAGAAGAGAAAUGUGGAAAAUAGUGGAGUUAUUGCCACAGAUUAUUGGAAUAAAAACUCUUCCAAGUCAAACUCAA